CACGUAGGGGGCGAGCGUUGUCCGGAUUUAUUGGGCGUAAAGAGCUCGUAGGCGGCUCAGUAAGUCGGGUGUGAAAACUCCAGGCUCAACCUGGAGACGCCACCCGAUACUGCUGUGGCUAGAGUCCGGUAGGGGAGCAUGGAAUUCCUGGUGUAGCGGUGAAAUGCGCAGAUAUCAGGAGGAACACCAGUGGCGAAAGCGGCUUCCUGGUCCAGCACCGACGUUCAGGCACGAAAGCGUGGGGAGCAAACAGG
rnacentral:rRNA from 1 species